rnacentral:rRNA from 1 species
UACGAAGGGGGCUAGCGUUGUUCGGAAUCACUGGGCGUAAAGGGCGCGUAGGCGGCCGAUCAAGUCGGGGGUGAAAGCCUGUGGCUCAACCACAGAAUUGCCUUCGAUACUGUUUGGCUUGAGACCGGAAGAGGUAAGUGGAACUGCGAGUGUAGAGGUGAAAUUCGUAGAUAUUCGCAAGAACACCAGUGGCGAAGGCGGGUUACUGGUCCGGUACUGACGCUGAGGCGCGAAAGCGUGGGGAGCAAACAGG